rnacentral:rRNA from 1 species
GACAGAGGGUGCAAACGUUGUUCGGAUUUACUGGGCGUAAAGCGCGUGUAGGCGGCUUUGCAAGUCGGAUGUGAAAGCCCACGGCUCAACCGUGGAAGUGCAUCCGAAACUGCAUGGCUGGAGUCUCGGAGAGGAAGGUGGAAUGCUUGGUGUAGAGGUGAAAUUCGUAGAUAUCGAGAAGAACACCGGCGGCGAAGGCGGCCAUCUGGACAGAUACUGACGCUGAGACGCGAAAGCGUGGGGAGCAAACAGG